rnacentral:lncRNA from 1 species
AAAAUAUUCUUCAUUUUUUGGUAAAAUUAUUAUUCAUUUUUUGUUAAAAAUAACUGCAUUGGUGGAUGACUUUGCAUGUAUAUGGUGACCCUCCAUUUAUCCUCCAUUUGAAGGUGACUUUUUGUAUACCAUACUCUGUAUGUUGAGAAUGAGAGAGAGUCUUUUGCCCUUGAAUAGCUUGUGACUCAUUCAGUUAUUAUUUUAGUGAAAAGUUAGGGCAUUGAAUCAUAGGUACAUACCUUGAAAGAAAAGCCAGUGCUUAAACAGCCCUACUUGACAUGAUAAUGUUGGGUAUUUUCAGCCAGCAAAAUGCUAAAAUAUACUUACUAACCAAAAAAAAAAAAAAAAAAAAAAAAAAAAGUUCUACUCUGCCUACACAGCACAGUUGUUCAAAGAGCGGAUAAUAGAUAAGGAGGUGAGGUUCUUAGCCACACGCUACAGUUUUUGUGAGAUUUCUUAACUUAGGCUUUUUGGGACCAAUGAGGCUUCAGAAAUAGGCUUCAAAUGAUCCACAGUCUUGCUAAAAUUGUACAUAAAAUCAUGUGUACAUGGAAUUCUGUCCCAUGAAAAUAGUUCAUAGCUCACAUGACAUUUACCGUUUAUUACAUCUCACACACAUACAUAAUAAUAUACUAAUAACCAAAUUCUUUUACUUAUUAUCGAAAUUCUUAAUUGUCUUUAAUAACCUGAGAGAGAAGUAAAAUAAAUAUAAUUCUACAUGUUUCAUAGAUUAAAAAAGUAAUAUAUAUAAUAUAUAAAUUUUAUAUGUUAUACAUAUUACUUAUAUGCUGUUCCCUAAUGCAUUACCUCAAAUUUCGUUUUUUUCUAGUAUUGACCUGCCAAUUUUAAGCCAGUGCUUAUCCAUUGAGAUUUUCCAUUUUCAACUUUAAAUUGUCUCCACAUAUUCAUUUAAUUGUGUCCUAAUUUCCUGUCUAUUGCCUGAGAAGCCUAGGUAGCCCACAAAUGGAAGAACUAUGCUAGCUAUCAAAUUUUUCUAGCACAUCAGCUUGGGAGGCUGUCUACUGAGCUGGAAGGUCAUUUAAAUUUUUUCUCAUUUUCAAAUACCAACAUUUCACUAAAGAGAGUUACAGGCAGAACACAUUUGCCAUAUUAAUGAAUUGAAAAAAAAUGAACUCUUCACUGAUUAGAAUGCUACCUAUUAUAUACAGAAUAAGAAAGUCUGUUGGGAAUGAUAUGGGUGUAGUAGACUAAAAGUUGCAAAAAUAUCCCACACUAUUAAAACUAGAAAGGAGAAAUUCAUAUGCACGAGAGUGAAAACAGGAAAUAUAAUUCUAACACUGAGGGCAGAAAGUCAUUUGCCUAUUAACUACCUGUUCCGUUUAGUACAGGAGCAACAAGAAACUAUUGCUCCACAUUUGAGGAAAUUUAGCUUUACUUUUUAUUAUCAAUUUUUUAAAUAAACAAAUGGAAUCAGAUAACCAACAGUCUUCUCUCCUUUGACUGAAAACUGAGUAGCUGCUCACUGUAGGCCAGCAUAAUCAACACUGGUAUCUCAAAUUGUGAAAGUUUUGCUUCACUUUGAGUCUAAAUUUAAUUAUUGUAUUUUUUCUUUAUUAGUUCCAGAAUGUACGCCAUUUAUGAAAAUAUGUAUGAGUCUAAAUAAGCUUAAUUCUUUCAGACAAUAAAUGGUUGACAUGAUUUUUCUGACAGUUGUGAUCAUAGAUUGCGGUAGGCAUUCUACUUUUCAUAUUGAUUUAAAAUAUAUUAUGAUACUCACAGAUGAAUAUAUACAUGGUAUAUACCAUAUGUAUCUAUAUAGACAAAUACAUAAUUGUAAUCUCAAAGUCAGUAUUAUUUUAAAACAUUUUAAUGUUCUUUACCUAUGUAAAAACCAUGGGUACACUUGAUUUAUUUUUAGCAAUCAAGUAGAACAUUAGAUUUUUCCACAUAUCUAAGCCAAAAACAAUCAUUUUAUUACUUUUAAUUAUUAUCUUGCUCAUUUCUAUCUACAGUCUGUCUGUCUCUUUUAAUCAUUUUGAUUAUUACAGUUUAAUCUAUGGCAUCAGCUAAUUAACUAACAUGUAGCAAAUGAGCACCUAUUAUGAAAGAAGCACUUUAAUAAGCCAUAAAAGUAACAGGUAAUAUUUGCUAUGGUUCAAGCUUUUUUAUAGAAAUUUUUAAAUUUUUAAAACAACCUUAUAAAAUAUAUAUUGCCAUUAUUCCUAUUUAAAAGAUGGAAAAACAUAAAAAGUCACAAAGGACUAUUAUGAACAAUUAUAUGACAAUAAAUUGGAUAACCUAGGGGAAAUGGAUGAAUUACUGGAAAUAUACAAUCUACAAAGAAUAAAUCAAGAAGAAAUAGAAAGCUUAAACAAACCAAUAGCAAAUAGAGAUUGAAGUAGUAAUCAAAAACCUUCCAUCAAAGAAAAUUCCAGUACCAGAUGGCUUCAUAGCUGAAGUCUAUCAAACAUUAAUAGAAAAAUUAAUAUCAAACCGUCUUAAACACUUCCAAAAAGUAGAAAUAGACUGAAUGCUUCCAAACUCAGCCAGCACUAUUUGGAUAACAAAGCCUGACAAAGGUAUCGCAAGUAAAGAAAACUAUGGGUCAGUAUCUCUGAUUAACGUAUAUGCAAAAAUUCUCAAUAAAAUACUAGCAAAUAAAGUUCAACAACAUAUCAAAAAAGUAUACACUAAAACCAAAUAGGAUUUAUUCCUGAGAUACAAGGGUGGUUUAAAAUACACAAUCAAUGUGAUGUGCCAUUUUAACAGAAUGAAAGAUUUUUUUAAGCCACAUGAUGAUCAUAACUGAUGCAGAGAAAGCAUUUGACAAAGUUUAGCAUCCUUUAAUGAUAAACAUUCUCAAAAAAACAAGUAUAGGAGGAAUUUGUCUUCAACCUAAUAAAGAUUGUUUAUGAAAAACCCACAGCUAUCAUAGUAAUCAAUAGAAAAAAACUGAAAGCUUUUUCUCUAAAGUCUGGGCCGUGGCAAAGAUGCCCAUGCUAUUCUAUUUAACAUAGUUAGGGAAGUAACAGCAAGAGCAAUCAGACAAGAAGAAGAAAUAAAGGGGAUACAAAUCAGAAAGGAAAAAGUAAAAUUAACCCUGUUUACAAAUGUGUAGAAAACCCUAAAGACUCCACACAAAAAAGUUGUUACACAAAUAAAUGAAUUCAUCAGAAUAGCAGGAUACCAAACCAACAUACAAAAUUAGUUGCUUUUAUUUACACCUACAAAAAUCUAUUUGAAAAAUAAAUCAAGAAAACAAUCCCAUUUAAAAUAGCAUUAGAAAGAAUAAAACACUAAGAGAUAAAUUAAAACAAAGAAGUGAAGUGAAAGCUAUGUACAAUACAAAGCAUGGAAACUAUAAGCAUUGAUAAAAGAAAUUUAAAGACACAAAUUAAUAAAAAGAUAUCUCAUAUUUGUGAAUUAAAAUAAUUAAUAUUGUUAAAAUGUUCCUAUUGCUCAAAACAACAUACAGAUUUAAUGCAAUCCCUAUCAACAGUUUAAUUUUUCAAAUAAAUUGAAAAAAAAUUAAAUGGAACCACAGAAGAUACUGACUAGCCCAAACAAUCUUGGGAAUGAAAAACAAAGUUGGAGGCAUGACACUUCCUGAUUCCAAAUUAUAUUACACAGCUAUAGUAAUCAAAACAACACAUUAUUGGCUUAAAAAUAGAUAUAUAGGACAGUGGGACAGAAUAGAGGAACCAGAAGUAAACCCAGUAAUAUAAGGUCAUCUAAUUUUUGACAAGCUGCUAAGAAGACACAAUGUACAAAAGAUACUGUCUUCAAUAAAUGGUUGAUUUUAUUUUUCAAGCCAGAUAUAAUAAUAUCUUCCUCAUAUAUAGGAAAUUUCUUGAACGUAACUAGCAUGUAGUUAACAUGACUUUACUACCCCAGCAACAAUUCAUGAAACUACAGGUACCCUACGUGCAGUCAAUCUAUAAGCUGAGUAAUCAAUAGCAUGUGAGUUCUCUGACAUGAAUGUUCUUCCUGUGAGUAUCAUGAAGACUAAUUAAUGUGCGUAGAUAUUUUUAAUUUAAAAUUAAGAUACAGAGUCAGGAAAGUAUAACAAGGCUAAAAUUGAAAUACAAACAGAGUUAUAUAAAAUUCAAUCAAAAUUGGAGACGACAAAUUCAAGGAGUAAAAACAGGCAUACAAAUGUGGGUACACAAGUUUUAUCUCUCUCCAAUAGAUCAUUCAAUCAAAAAAUUAUAAGCAUUCUAUAUUUAAAGUACUUGAGUGUCAUGAGCUUCAGAAGAAACUUUCCAAAUGUUUUAAAACUGGUAGUGAUGAAGAUUUCCAAGUUUAUCCCUGACAUGUAAAGAACCUGGAAGUUAUUACUCCUGUCCUUACAAUAAGGAAAUGCUAGACAAACACAAUAAUUUUAUUAGUUUUAUUAGAGAACUGAGGGAAAAGGAAAAAACCACUACCACAAAAUAUUGAGUGUCAAAUGCAUCUAGAGAGAGAUAGUGUACUCAAGAUUUGAUUACCUAGGACAGAAGCCACUAGACGCUUAAAGCUGGUAGAAUAUCAUAUAUGAUAAUCUUGAUGAAUUGCUGGAGGAUGAGUGUAUGGAAGUGAACAUGAGAAUACCCUAGCGCUGAAGUAUUGGUGGUUGGACACCCUGCAGACUUUCCCUCUAGGAGCUCCACCAGGUUAUGGCAGAGAGAAUUCUAGAAACCCUAGAAAUCUCAAUACAUCACCCUCAUGGGGGGAGGAAAAGCAUUCCUAUCAUGACUCUUCUCCCUAAAGAAGGCCUUGUUUCCAUAGGUAAUGACAUUAGCAGUUAGGCAAUUUUUACACCUGAGAAAAGAGAACUGCAUUCCAAUCCAGAUUUUCUGCAUCAGCUAAUGAGAAAUAAAUGAAUAAAAGCAUUGUUAGCGGAGGAGAGAGCUUCAAAUAAAUAGACUGCAGUGGUUAAGAGACUAGAGAACAGAAGGUGAGAAGGUUCUCUUGGGGACAAGAAACAGAAACACUUCUGAAGACCAAACCUCUAAGACACAGUUCCAAUAAAACACCAAGAACCAAUCAGAAUAUUAGGUGACCCUCUCCUCUGUGACACUGCCACUGCUGUGUCUGCUGAAAAUAAAGGAGAAAGAGAGAGUCUCAAAGGUUUUGGGAGGUUGGGGUAGAUUGAGGGAGCAGAGGACACCUUACCUAUAGAGAAAUAAAAAUAAGGAUUACAGGAAACUUCUCAGUAGAAAGCAUGCAAACAAGAAGAGAACAGAGUGAUAUAUUUACAAUAUUGAAAGAAAAGGAAAAAUCUGUGAACCAAAAUUCUAUAUUCAGUAGAAAUUUCACUGAAGAGUGAAGGAGAAGUUAAUGGGUAUGGGUUUCUAAUCAAGGUGAUAAUUUUUUUCUAGAAUUAGAUACUGGUGACGGUUGCAGAUACUGGGGAUAGUUGCACAAUUCUGUUUAAAAAACACUAGUAAAUUGGACAGUUUAAAAGGCUGAAAUGCAUGUAGAUUAUAUCUUAAUAAGGCUGUUACAAAAGUGAAAGAGAAAUUUAAAAACUCCCUUUUCUGAUAACAAAGUUGUGAAAGAUAAAUUUAGAAGUUCUCUUUUCUGAAAACUUAGAAAAAUCAAUUUCUUGUUGAUCUUCCUUGAAAGACCUUUUAAAAGAAGAUCUUCAGGCAGAAAUAAAAUGGUUUAGGUCCAAAAUUUGGAUCUACACAAAGAAAACAAGAGUGUCAGAACAUGAACAAAUACAAAUAUUAUUAUUUUAUUUUUUCAUAAUUUAUCUAAAAAACUGAGCAAAGGAAUGAUAACAAUGCAAUGGAUGCUUAUAGCAUAAACAUACACAAAAUGAAUGACCAUAGUAUCAACUGGAAUGAGAGAAAGUAAUUGAGAGUGCUGUAUUAUUAGGCAACUGCAUUACAUGUGAAACAGGAUAGUGCCUCUUGAUGGUGGAUUUAGAUUCUUUUAAAAUGUAUGUGGCAUGCCAUAAAAACAAUAAAAUACUUAGGAAUGCAGUUCACCAGGGAAAGAUCUCUGCAAGGAGAACUACAAAAUACUCCUCAAAGAAAUCAGAGAUUACACAAUCAAAUGGAAAAAUAUUUCAUGCUCAUAAAUAGGAAUAACUAAUAUCAUUAAAAUGGCCAUACUGUUCAAAGCAAUUUAUAGAUUUAAUGCUAUUCCUAUUAAAGUAUUAUCAACAUUCAUCAAAGAACUACAGAAAACUAUUUUAAAAUUUGUAUGGAAUCAAAAAAGAGCCCAAUUAGCCAAGGCUAUCCUAGGCAAAAAAACAAAGCUGGAAGCAUCACACUACUGGACUUCAAAUUAUACUGAAGGGUUAACAGUAACCAAAACAGCAUGGUGCUGGUAGAAAAACAGACACAUAAACCAAUGGAACAGAAUAGAGAGCCCAGAAAUAAGACUACACACCUACAACUAUCUGGAUUUUGAAAAACCUGACAAAAGCAAUGGGGAAAGGAUUCCCUAUUCAAUAAAUGGUGCUGGGAUAACUGGCUACCAUAUGCAGAUGAUUGAAAUGCCAUCCUUACACCAUAUAAAAUAUUAAAUCAAGAUGGAUUAAAGACUUAAAUGUAAAACCCAAAAGUAAAACAACUCUGGAAGACAACCUGGGAAAUACCAUCAAGAUAUAGUCACGGGCACAGAUUUCAUGACAAAUAUGCCAAAAGAAAUCGCAACAAAAGAAAAAAUUGACAAACAGGAUCUAAUUAAACUAAAGAGCUUCUGCACAUCAAAAGAAACUGUCAACAGAGUAAACAGACAACCUAUAGAAUGGUCAAAACAUUUUCCAAAUUAUGCAGCCAACACAGGUCUAAUAUCAAGUUUCUAUUAGUAUAUUGAGCAAAUUUACAAUAAAAAACCAAAAGACCCCAUUAAAAAGUGGGCAAAGGACAUGAACAGACACUUUCCAAAAGAAGAGCAUGUGGCAAAAAAAUGUACGAAAAGAAGCUCAACAUCACUGAUCAUUAGAGAAAUGAAAAUCAAAACCACAAUGAGAUACCAUCUUACACUAGUCAGAAUGGCUAUUUUUAAAAAGUCAAAAAAUAACAGAUCCUGGCAAGGUUGUGAAGAAAAAGGAAUGCUUAUACACUGUUGGUAGGAGUGUAAAUUAGUUCAACCAUUGUGGAAGACAGUAUGGUGAAUAUUCGAAGACCUAAAAGCAGAAAUACCAUUUGACCCAAAGGGAUACAAAUUGUUAUAUUAUGAAGAUACAUGCACAUGUAUGUUCAUUGCAGUACUAUUCACAACAGCAGAGACAAGAAAUAAACCUAAAAGUCCAUCAAUGAUAGACUAGAUGAAGAAAAUUUGGCACAUAUGCAUCAUGGAAUACUAUGCAGCCAUGGAAAAUAAUGAGAUCAUGUCCUUUGCAGGGAUAUGGAUGGAGCUUGAGGCCAUUUAUCCUUAGCAAACUAACACAGGAACAGAAAACCAAAUACCGUAUGUUUCACUUGUAAGUGGAAGCUAAAUUAUGAGAACAAAUAAACACAUAGAGGGGAACAACACACAAUAGGGACUUUUGGAGGGUGGAGGGUGGCAGGAAAAAUAACUAAUGGGGACUAGGCUUAAUACCUAGGUUAUAAAAUAAUCUGUACAACGAACUCCAUGACACAAGUUUACCUGUGUAAGAAACCUGCACUUGUACCCCUGAAUUUUAAGUAUAAAAUAAAAUAAAAUAAAAUGUAUAUUGCAAAUCUCAGGGAAACCAAAUUUCAAAGGAAUAAUAAUAAUAUAUCAAGAGAUGAUAAUAUUGAAUUAUAUAAAAUGCUCAAUUAAAACCAGAGAAAGCAGAAAAAUAUAAAACAAGCAAAAGAACAUGCACAACAAAUAGAAACAUUACAAAGAUAGUACAUUUUAUCCAAACAAUAUCAGUAAUUGCUUUAAAUAUAAGUGAUCUAAAUAGUGGUUAAAAGGCAGAGAUUGUCAAAAAAGAUAAAUAUUAGUACAUAUCUCAAAUUAUAUAUAAGAAUUUUAUAAAAUUAUCUUUAAUACUCUAAAUAAGUUACAGUAUUCUUAAUACUGAAUUGCAGAGAAUGUAAUAUUAAUAGUAGCAACAACUUUUAAGUAAAUGUCUAAUAAUAUUCCAAAUAGUUUGAAAAUUUUUAGAAAUAUUAACAUUAUCUUUUCUUUUUUUUGCCUUUUUUGGGUUUUGUUUGUACUGUUUCUCUCUUACAAUCCCUAGCUAAACUAUACUCUUGUCUCAGUCAUGAUUGAAUACAGACAACUACAGCAAAUUCUUCUAACGACUUCAUUGAUCAGCCACUAUGUGACUUCCAAACCUAACAGCAACACGUCUGAGGAGAGCACCUAAUUGAUGAAAAAGCCAGAUGGUGAUACUUACUGUGAGAAUUGAAGAAACCAAGAAUCUUGGAUUAUGUUAACAUGAACAGUAAUGUUGAUUAACCUUCAUAAAUUCCUCCAAUUGUCUACGUGUAUAAAUGACAAUAAAACAAAAGGACUGCCCUAUUUGAAAUAUUGGCAAGUGAAAUGAUCACUCUGGAGAAUACAGAUCUUUGAAAUCAAUUAUAAUCUAAAUUCCCAAUUACUCUAAUAAAAGGGAAAUGAAUUAGCAAGAUCUGUAUGUUAUAUAAUUCUGAAGCUUCAUCUUUAUAAUAGAUGAAUUGUAAAUGUAUUAGAUCAAAUUUUAAAUUUGUACUAGAUAAAUUGAUUGUGCUAGAUCAAAUUGUAAAGUUGAUCAUUUAUCUGAUCCAUCAUUUAUUCAUGAAGUGCUGAAGUUGUUGUGCCUGGUAAAAAUGAGUGUCAAAUAAAAGUCUACCAUGACUUCUGCAUAAAACCUACAGUAAGUACAGGAAGAUUCUCAGUCAACAAAAACAACUAUAAUUGAGCCUUGAGGUAUAAGCUAUGUCCACUUAAUACUCCAAUUUUCUUCUACCUCUUUCACCCCUGAAACAAUAAGACCAACUACUCUUCCUCAUUCACCUCAGCCUAGUGAACAGUAAGUCUAUUAUGAUGGAAACCUUAAUGAUGAUUCACUUCCACUUAAUAAACAGUAAAUAUAUUUUUUCUUCCUUUGAUAUUCUCAGUAGCAUUUUCUAUUCUUUAGCUUACUUUAUUGUAAGAAUACAGUGUAUAAUACAUGAAACAUAUGAAACAUGUUAAUUGGCUGUCCAUGUUACUGGUAAAGCUUCCAGUGAACAGUAGAUUAUUAGUAGUUAAGUUUUUGAGAAGUCAAAAGUCAUAUAUAGAUUUUUUUAUUGUGCAGGGUGUCAGUUCCCCUAACCCCCGCAUUAUUCAGGAGUCAACUGUAUAUUGUAAAAUUAAAAUGGAUAAGUCAGAGAAUACACUUAUUAACAUGCAAUGGAAGUUUAGGGUAGACAGCCAUAUUUAUUUCUAGGAAAGUCAGCUAUAAAAGGAAUUUUAGUAAUACACCUAUACAUUCUGUCUUCCUUCAGAGAUUAAGAUGGUAGGAUUUAUGACUUAAGUAUGUGAUUCUGGAGACAGACUGAAAGCUCUAUAGAGCAUGCAUAGAUCUCUUUUGAAG